rnacentral:tRNA from 1 species
UUUUUUAUAGUAUAAAAAAUUAUAUUUUAUUUCCAAUAAAAAGAUUUAAAAAAA